GAGCACCUAGUCCAGUGGUAAGACGUCCGCGCAAGAUCUUGACAGGCUUCCUAGUACUUGACCGUACUGCUUUGUGGAAGAUUUCCCAUCGCUGCAUCUGCCUUGAUUGCGGAAGACGUGUGUUCGAUCCACACGGUGCUUG